rnacentral:rRNA from 1 species
GAUGAACGCUGGCGGCGUGCCUAAUACAUGCGAGUCGAGCGAACAGACGAGGAGCUUGCUCCUCUGACGUUAGCGGCGGACGGGUGAGUAACACGUGGAUAACCUACCUAUAAGACUGGGAUAACUUCGGGAAACCGGAGCUACUACCGGAUAAUAUAUUGAACCGCAUGGUUCAAUAGUGAAAGACGGCUUUGCUGUCACUUAUAGAUGGAUCCGCGCCGCAUUAGCUAGUUGGUAAGGUAACGGCUUACCAAGGCAACGAUGCGUAGCCGACCUGAGAGGGUGAUCGGCCACACUGGAACUGAGACACGGUCCAGACUCCUACGGGAGGCAGCAGUAGGGAAUCUUCCGCAAUGGGCGAAAGCCUGACGGAGCAACGCCGCGUGAGUGAUGAAGGUCUUCGGAUCGUAAAACUCUGUUAUUAGGGAAGAACAAAUGUGUAAGUAACUAUGCACGUCUUGACGGUACCUAAUCAGAAAGCCACGGCUAACUACGUG